UUAAAAGCUUUGAUUGAGAUUAGUAGAUUUGUGGAUUAUUUACAGAGAGUUAGACAAUGGUGAGAGUCUAAUAUUAAAAAGCUGAUUGAAUGGACUCAUGAGCUGAAGCUGAACCUUUUAGUAAGCGACACGGUUUUCUCCCGUUAUAGAGAUAGGAUAUCGGAUUUUUAUCCCGUAUCUGAAAAGAGAUUGCAAUAAUUAUAUUAUUGCAAAUAAGAGGUGGCAACACGAUAUAUUCGUCCUCUAU
rnacentral:ncRNA from 1 species